UCACUUGCAGCCUUUGAAGGAGAAAGACGGUUUGAAAAAUUAUGCCAGGAAAGUGCCAAGGAGGCACCCACGAAAGCUGAGAAAAUUAAGCUAUUGAAACCUAUUUCAGGGAAAGUGAGGGCCUAGUGGGAAAUGGGCAUUGUUCAAGCAGAAAAAGCUGCAAGCAUGUCAAUGAAGGAGUGAAAAGCCAAGUUCACCUUUAUCUAUG
rnacentral:lncRNA from 1 species